UACGUAGGGCGCAAGCGUUGUCCGGAAUUAUUGGGCGUAAAGAGCUCGUAGGCGGUUUGUCGCGUCUGCUGUGAAACCUAAGGCUCAACCUUGGGCUUGCAGUGGGUACGGGCAGACUAGAGUGCGGUAGGGGUGACUGGAAUUCCUGGUGUAGCGGUGGAAUGCGCAGAUAUCAGGAGGAACACCGAUGGCGAAGGCAGGUCACUGGGC
rnacentral:rRNA from 1 species